UACGUAGGGGGCAAGCGUUGUCCGGAAUCAUUGGGCGUAAAGAGCGUGUAGGUGGCUCGGUAAGUCCGCUGUGAAAGUCCAGGGCUCAACCCUGGAAAGCCGGUGGAAACUGUCGAGCUCGAGUCCGGAAGAGGCGAGUGGAAUUCCUGGUGUAGCGGUGAAAUGCGCAGAUAUCAGGAAGAACACCCGUGGCUAAGGCGGCUCUCUAGUACGGUACUGACGCUGAGACGCGAAAGCGUGGGGAGCGAACAGG
rnacentral:rRNA from 1 species